rnacentral:rRNA from 1 species
GGACCAAGGAGUCUAGCAUGUGCGCGAGUCAUUGGGAUUUUUACUAAACCUAAAGGCGCAAUGAAAGUGAAGGUCCGCCUUGCGCGGACCGAGGGAGGAUGGACCGUACCGAGGUACGGUCUCGCACUCSCGGGGCKUSUCGUUCUCAUCGMGAGAAGAGGCGCACCCAGAGCGUACMCGCUGGGACCCGAAAGAUGGUGAACUAUGCCUGGUCAGGACGARGUSWKGGGAAACCCUGAUGGAGGUCCKUAGCGAUUCUGACGUGCAAAUCGAUCGUCGGAACUGGGUAUAKGGGCGARAGACUAAUCGAACCAUCUAGUAGCUGGWUCCCUCCGAWGUUUCCCUCAGGAUAGCUGGCGCUCGCGUGCUMGCGAGUCUCAUUCGGUAAAGCGAAUGAUUAGAGGCAUUGGGGUCGAAACGGCCUCAACCUAUUCUCAAACUUUAAAUGGGUGAGAUCUCCGGCUUGCUUGAACUGUGAAGCCGCGAGAUAUCGGAUCAGAGUGCCAAGUGGGCCACUUUUGGUAAGCAGAACUGGCGCUGUGGGAUGAACCAAACGCAGAGUUAAAGCGCCUAAAUCGACGCUUAUGGGAUACCAUGAAAGGCGU